rnacentral:lncRNA from 1 species
GAGUAGCCCUAGAGGCCUAACGCUUGAGGUCACCUUCAUGGUUUUUCCAGUGACCUUGGCCAUUAAUGAGCUCCCACCGCUUCCCCAGCUGCAGCUGUAUUAUAGCGCCAGAGUCUUCCAAGCCUGCAGGUUGUGCCAAGCCUGGAGGGAUUUGCAAAAGAAACAUUUGCCUACACCAAGAUCAUGAAGAUGUUUUCUUCUAGAGGAUUUCUAGUUUUAGCUCUUUAUGUUUAAAUUGAGGGAAACUAAAUGUAUGGCCUUAAGGAGCUGUUCCAGCCUGAGACUAUACACCAGCAGAAAGAAACUCACAGCACUGAAAAUAUUGUUCUCCGCCCUCCCUCAUCCCUCUUCCUUCUGAAUGGGAAAAAAGAGUAAGAAGCUUUUCCCUCCAGCUGAAAGCAAAGGAGUACUCUAGCCCUCUGUGAUAGCUGAUGGCAGCAUCUUUGGUGGCUCUCCCAGAGAGGCUGCUCUCUUUGCUGGAAUUUGCCUUGUUCUCUCCUCACUGCUGAAGCACUGUCACUGCGUCCUAAAAAAACACCACAGUAUUUCUUUAUAGCAGCGCAAGAACAGACUCAUACAGGAUCACUGCAUGUGGAAUCAGGUAAGACAAGGUCAUACUGGAGUAGGAAAGGGGUUAAUCCAAUAUGACUGGUGUCCUUAAAAAAUGGGAAAUUCAUCGAGGGCAGAUUGGAUAAAGGAAAUGUUGUACAUAUACACUAUGGAAUACUUCACAGCUAUAAAAAAGGAGAAGAUUAUGUCCUUUGCAGGUACAGGAAUGGAGCUAGAGGUCAUCAUCCUUAGCAAACUAAUGCAGGAACAGAAAACCAAAUGCCACAUGUUCUCACUUAUAAGUUGAAGGUAAAUAAUGAGAACACGUGGACACAUAGAGGGGAAUAGCACACACUGGGGCCUACUUGAGGGUAGAAGGUGGGAGGAAGGAGAGGAUCAGAAAAAACGAUUGGUUACUAGGCUUACUACCUGGUUGAUGAAAUAAUCUGUACAGCAAACCCCAGUAUCAAGAGUUUACCUAUAUAACAAAACUGCACAUGUACCCCUGAACCUAAAAUAAAAGCUUUUUAUAAAAAGAAAAGAAAAAGGGCUGGGCAUGAUGGCUCACACCUGUAAUCCCAGGACUUUAGGACACCCAGGUGGGUGGACUGCUAAGCUCAGGAGUUCAAGACCAGCCUAGGCAACAUUGCGAAACCCCGUCUCUACAAAAAUUAGCCAGGCAUGGUGGCAUGUACCUGAAGUCCCAUCUACUUGCAGGGCUGAGGCCAGAGGAUCGCUUGAACCCAGGAGGUGGAGAUUGUAGUGAGUUGUAUUUGUGCCACUGCACUCCAGCCUCGUUGACAGAGCAAGGGCAAGACCUUUUCUUUAAAAAAAAAAAAAGAAAGAAAGAAAAGAAAAAGAAAAGACAAGAAAAGAAAAGAAAAGGAUAUAAUCAGCCAAAUUCAAAAUGUGUGAAAUGCUACAAGCUUCCAGGACUGUGAAACAAGACAUUUCUUUGGUUCAAGCCACUCCCUUAGUGCACAUUGUUAUGGCAGCCAUGGAAAACCAUCCACAGAGGGUCAGUUCCUAUGGAGGUGGGGUGAGUGACGAGAUGUUCCUGACUGGGCUGACAACGGAGGACGAGAGAGCUUGGGUGUGGAUGGGAAAAUAACUAGAAACUUCCCUUGAUCUCUCAGCAUUCUGUUCCAUCCCUGUCACUUCGAUGUCUCUCUUUCUUGAAUAUGGAAGCAGCCCUGGGCCCAGCUGCUGCAGGUGGCCAGGAAGGAGCCUGGGAGGAUGACGGGGUUCCUGAUCUGAUAGAACUGGGCUGUGACUAGGCAGAACCCUGUUCCACCACACACACCCCAGUGGAGGUCAGUACCCCAAAUCUGACACCAGGAUGUAGCAUGUCCAUGGAGUCUGUCUGCUGACACCUGUCCCACCCUCCCCUGGCCCGUAACUUUGAGAGAUACUGCAAUUCCUACCGAUGUUGCUGCCAUCCUUUAUUCAGCCCAUUAUCAGAAGUUAUGACACAUUGCAAAAUGCUCAGGCUAGUUGAAUUUCUGCAACAGGGCAAGGCGGUUAAAUCCUGUCCUUCCUGGAGUCUCAUUGACCAGGCUUUGAAUCCCAAUUCUACCAUGGAUUAGAUUUGCAACUUUGGCAAAUUGAUGAACUCUUCUGAGCUUUGGACUAAUAAUAGGGUUUUGUGAGGAAUACCUGAGAUAAUGCAUGUACAACACCUUGCAUGUUGUUUAGCACCUACUAGAAAUGCAACCAACUCUAGCUGUUAUCGCUAGUUUUUCUCUUGCUCCAUCUCCAUUCCUGAGAUGUGCAUGGCUACUCUGUGUUUGUUGUUGGGAAGAGCCGUAGACAGUCGUAUCCUCUUCCUGAGAAUGGUAACUGAGCUGCCCCCUUGGGACUGUCCAGGGGCUGGCCAUUAGCCCCACGAGGCAGCAACAAAACCAACAAGACAAGUCUGUUUACUCUUCUGGUCUAUAAUUUAAAAUGUGUUUGAUGCUACUUUUUUUUUUUCUUUUUAGGACGUUCUGUAUCUGUGAUGAAUGACCCCUGCAUACAUUAUAUCUUUCAGUAAAAACAGUGGUGUUUCAGUAGUGUUACUAGCUAAGCUGCUUAACUCUCACAUUACAGACGUCAGUGAAGCCCCUUGGUAGGUAGUGUCUAAAAUUAGAUUUAUCUGCUUAUUUACACAAUUAUACUCUCAUGAGUUUGAAUGUUGGGGAAAGAUCAAGAAAAAGACCAGAUCACUAGAUGGCAAUAGCACACAAGAGCUUUAUUUGGAUGAAGCUUGGACAGAAUGCAUGGAAGGGGAAAGUCCCUUGCAGCAGAAGACCUUCCAGAGGCAGUGGCAGGGCCACCACCAGAAGAAAAGGGCAAGGACACUCCCAGGGGAGAGGAGGAUCAGAGAGGAGGUUACAGGUCUAAGAGAUGUCACAGGUCUAGAAGAAAAGAAAAGGAGCCAGGUGCAGUGGCUCACACCUGUAAUCCCAGCACUUUGGGAGGCCCAGGCGGGCAGAUUGCUGAGUUCAGGAGUUUGAGACCAGCCUAGGCAAACAUGGUGAAACCCCAUCUCUAAAAAAAGAUUUAAAAAUUAACCAGGCCUGGUGGCAUGUACCUGAAGUCUCAUUUACUUGGGGGGCUAAGGCUGGAGGAUCGUUUGAACCCAAGAGGGUUCAUGGUGGGGAGCAUCAUGGUGAGGAGUCUCUGGGUCAGAGAGCUCCAAAGGACAGCAGCCAUUUGGGGUCUUUUGUAGCCCUGAGGUUCGUCUUACCUAUGGUGAGAGGGUGUCGGGUGUAGUUUUGCAAAUUAUCGAAGCAGGCAGGCUCUAAAUGGGCAAAUAAUAUUUGGCCUACAUUUAAAGCAAUUGGAUGUGCAAGAAUUUGAGUUUGGUGCUGGCAGGCUUGAGUUAACGGUCCUGGGCUGUGGUGUGGAAGUAAACAGCAUGGGGGCCAAUACACAGGGGCUGUCUUGAACUCGUUCAUACAAUCCAUUUAUAACCUGUUUAUAACUUGUUUAUAACCCAUUUAUACCACAUACCCCUAAAGCAAAUACCUAGCAGAUAGCAUGCAGGGCCUAUUUGCCUGGCCUCCUUCAAUGGCAUCACAUUCUCCACCACCACGAUGGUUAAUAUGGACGAGCCCUAGCAGCUGCCCAGUGAAGUCCACACGCUACUGCCCAAACCAGCUCAAGUCCUUAGUUGUCAUGAAAAUAAUGUGAGUUCCCACAGCCGUAAAAGGGAAAGCAGCAAGAGCCACAUGAGCAUCCCCGGAACCCUGGGAACAGUCAUCAGUGUCAUCUUCAGGGUCAUGUCCCUACAAGCAGUUCUCAGGCUCCUGCUGAGGGUCAGAACAGAGCCGAAGUCACAGGAUAUCAAAAAUGGAUAAGCCCAACCUCAGCUCGCAGAGGAAUUGCUCAGCUGACAGAUGAUUGUGUUAUCUCAGUGAAGCCAGAUGACAAUGUACUUGGCCAACGGAACAUCUUGGUCAAUGGAUCUCCAAGUUGGUUAUAAAAUUAAAGCAAAAUAAUGCCAUUAUAUGUAAGAUGUCAUUGAUUGUAAGAUGCUCCUUUAUUUGAUGUACCACUAAUAAAUAAAAACACUGACAUUUAAACAAUGACAAUUGCAUAACACAUCUGCUUGUUCAAUGUUAAAUAUGAAAAAAUGUGC